AUAAAAUUUUUAAUGUUAUAAAGAAAAAUAAUAAAUUAUGAGAGUAAUAAUAAUCAUUGGAUAAUGGGAUAUAAGAUUUAUAUUUCUUUUUGGGUACAUAGAUACUUUUAUUAAAACUAGAAUACUCUCUCAAAGUAAAUAGCGUGAUUUACUUUUGUAUCAUUUCAAGCGAUCAGACAUUCUGAUCGACAAUCGACAUUGUAAAACAUGAUUUAAAUCAUUAGUAGUUUAUGAAAAGCAAAUUUACUAUUUUAUAAUAUUAUUUAUCUAGUAACUAAGUGGUCUUAAAUUUACUCAUUGAUAGGUAUUAAAAAUUGUUAAUUUAGAAUCAUUUGAAUAGUGUGUUGGAUGUGGCCCACGUAAUUUAUUCAAGACGAUUUUAAGGAUACAGUCGGUUUAUUCAAGUUGAUUUAUAAAGAUACGGUAUAUCUAAUAGUUAUGAUGUAUCUGAACACGUUUUUGAUGAACAAACGUGAUUUAACAUUCUUACAUCAAGUUAUAUAUAAAUAUGUAACAUAUAUACGAGAGUUCCAGUUCAACCCUAUCUAAUUUUCUAUGACGUCUCCAUCUCUGAAGAUAAGGGGAUUAGACUUGAAACAUCCCGCUUUCUUGCAGAUCAUGAACGAGGAUGAACCACGAGUAAGAACCCACGAGUAAGGACCGUCGUCUAUAAUCUGGGUAUUAAAAUUGAAAUCAUGACAGAAGAUACGAUAUUAA
rnacentral:lncRNA from 1 species